UACGAAGGGGGCUAGCGUUGCUCGGAAUCACUGGGCGUAAAGCGCACGUAGGCGGAUCGUUAAGUCAGGGGUGAAAUCCUGGAGCUCAACUCCAGAACUGCCCUUGAUACUGGCGACCUUGAGUUCGGGAGAGGUGAGUGGAACUGCGAGUGUAGAGGUGAAAUUCGUAGAUAUUCGCAAGAGCACCAGUGGCGAAGGCGGCUCACUGGCCCGAUACUGACGCUGAGGCGCGAAAGCGUGGGUAGCAAACAGG
rnacentral:rRNA from 1 species